UACGUAGGAUGCAAGCGUUGUCCGGAAUUAUUGGGCGUAAAGAGCGAGCAGGCGGUUUGGAAAGUUGGACGUGAAAUUUUAGGGCUUAACCCUAAAGGGUCGUCCAAAACUCCCAGACUAGAGUGCAGGAGAGGAAAGCGGAAUUCCCGGUGUAGUGGUGAAAUGCGUAGAUAUCGGGAGGAACACCAGAGGCGAAGGCGGCUUCUGGCCUGUAACUGACGCUGAGGCGCGAAGGCUGGG
rnacentral:rRNA from 1 species